GGAAAACCUGCCAGUGAUGGAGAGUUCCUGAAGACAAUUUUGUUGCUGGACUGAUUAACUCAGCGAACAGACUGUCUGUGGGAACUCUGUCUCUGGGAAUCUGAUGGUCAGGUGGCCGGGAUGACUGGGCAAGUAUGGAGACUUUGGUGGGUGGGGUUUCCUCUGUUGAGUUUCUUUCAGAUUGCUGCAGAAAGCCCUCAGCAUUGGGACACAGAGAAGAGAGGUUUGGAUGCUCUGGGAGGACCUUUCACUGUCUCAAACUGUCUCUUAACAGCAGCCUUUCAGUUCUGCCUCACUCACGGUUUCUCUGGGUAAGUCAUCACUCCUUUGAGAUGUGGCAUCAUCAGUGUGUGCGGGAUAUGCCUAAGGAAAUUGUUCCCCCCUGAGGUCACUGACAGACAGGACGCACAGGAUCAGGAUCUUGAGCUCAGGGCCUCAAGACUGAAUGGAGGUUGCCUAAGGCUUGUGAUAAUAGUCUCACUGUGUCUGAUGGUUGGAAAAUGGCUUACCUCUGGCCAUCAUUUUCAAUACCUCAGAAACCUGUUUCCCACCCACAGAGACAGGAUAAGAAAACACUACAGAGAUGCCCAGGGAUGACCCAGAAAAUUGUUGCGAAUGCAUCUCCCCAUCUCUUUAGUGGCAGCAACUUCUGUCUUUGUCUCUUUAGCUUCUUUAGUCACCUCGCUACCUUCUACUUGGAAAAAUGACCCUAUGUGCAUUGCUGUGAUUCUGACUACUGUUUUCUUAGGAGCCAGCUUCCACUAUUUCCUCAAGUGGACAACAAACUGAAACUGUAGGCAACAGGUUUUUAGCCCAGUACACAGGCUUCUGGAACUCUCUUUCAUUUUUUUGAGAGCAAAGGCUGUAGGAGGCUAUGAGCUAGAAUUAUAUCGCUCAGCUGAGGUAAGAAAACUGGGCCAUGCAGAUGCCCAGUCCAUCCGGUCUGUUUAUAGCAUAUGUACAUGCAUACAUACACGUAUGCAUAUAUACUUACACACAUAUGGGAUAGAUAGGUACAUAUAAACAGAUGAUAGACAGUAGACAGAUGAUGGGUGGGAGGUGCAUGAUGCAUGGCAAUGCAGACAGAUUAACGUGAAUGCCCUGUGUUUAUACUCUCACCACCUGAAUAGGUAACUCUGGCCAGUCCACUCCUAGUGUUUAACUCUCCAAAGUUCUACUAGUUCCAAAGCCCAGAGUUUGUCCCACAGAAUACAGAACUUGACAGUGCUGUAGGAGUCAAGAAUGAGCCACAAACAACGCCUGCUCAGCAAGCAGCAAAUGCUUGCAAGUGGUUACGGACUCCACAGUAUUUGACAUUACUUUGUUAGGGUUCCCUGUCCUUGUAUUGUCACAGCAAUACGAGAAAACGUGUAUUGAUCAUGCACGUGGCUCUCUCUUUUAUCAAUGAACUUUGACUACAACUUCAAAGUUGUACUUUCUGGGUAAAGACUGCAAAUGAAUUUCUCACUGCCUGGUGUUGGCUGUGGAGCAGGUCUGAUGUCACCCAGGGCUUAUGACACCCUAAAGUACCUGGUCCUUACUUGGCACAAAGCACAUACAUAUAUCAUUGAGCUUGUUUGCAUAUUUUCACAAUGACCAAGCUGGACUAUUUUUUUUUUUAAGUUUUCUGUGUAUGGGUGUGGACAUACAUGUGUGUGUGUUUUAUGAACAUGUGUGUGGAGGCAGAGGUUGUUGUCUAGUGUCUUCCUCAAUCGUCAUCUAUCUUACUUUUGAGAUAAGGCCUAUUCACUGAAAUUGGAACUCAAGGAUUUGCUGGCCAGUCAGCUCCAGAGAUUCCUGCCCCCCAUUCAAGGAUCUGGCAUGCACCCCCAAACCUGGCUUUUUACACAACAUUAGAAGGCCUAAUUCAAGUCAGAAAGCACUUUAUUGACCGAGUCAUCUUCCCACACCUAAGUCCUAUCCUUUGUGUCUUGAGUAGUCUAAUCAGUGUGAAGUUAAACUGUUAAUUCACAAAAGUAUGUUUAUCUCUGGAGCAACACUUCAUUUUCCCCUGCUAUAGUGGUAUCAACCGGGAGAAAGACUGUAAAAGACAAAUGUGAUAUUUCUUCCUGCAAAGGGUUUUGUUUUGACAGCAGCUGAUGAGCUUUGAGGAACAAGUUCACACUCUUCAGCUCUGUGUCUUAAGCAUCACCACCACUGUCCAUCAUCUCCCUGUUGCUAUGGUAACACAACCCCAGCAGAAGCAGCUUAAUGGGGACUUUAUUUUGGCGCACAGUUUCAGAAGGACAAAGCCCAGUGCAUGGAAGACAUGGGGGCAGGAGCAAGAGACCAGCCAAUCAUAUUGCAUCUACACUCUGGAUGUGGGGCCAGACACAGAGCUUCAAAGCCUCACCCCCAACACUAGUGGCUUACGUCCUUUUCUGUAGGCUUUUCCCCUCUAAAGGCUCCACAAUCUUCCAAACAGCUCCACCAAGUGGAGAAGGAGUGUUCAAACAUGCAAGUCUCUGGGGGACAUUUCACUUCCAAACCACAGUAGUCAAUAAGGGGCACCAUUUCCCAUGCAGUGCUGCCUUCCUGCUGACACUCAGCAUCAAAACAUACACAUGGCGGGCCCUUCCUCAUUGUGUACCCUCAGCACGACAUCCGAGCCAUGCAAGCAGCUAAGUCUCUCCGAAGUCACAAGGGGCCAGAGGAUGUAAUCCACUCUCCCAGUGCCUCUUGUGACCCAAUGGCCACUGCUUUAGGAGGUAAGCUACCUGUAAUUUUCUUUUAGAAUUAAAAUAGUAGAUUUCGCUUCCUCUCCAUGCCAGGUAGCUGUUAUUUUCACGUUUUAGCAAGGUUUAAGAAAAACACCUGAAAGCCUUAUAGAUUUUCCACUGUUACCCACUCCCUGUGUCCCUUAAAUAAAGAAGCCCAUAAUUGAUUAAUGAAAAGCCAAGUCAUUUUGGUAUUAAUACAAUCCCCUGGGUGGGCCUCUAAUCACACCUGGCAGGCCCGUAACAGCAUCUCUCUGUUACACGUCCAGGUUAAAAACCUGCAAAUCAACACAGCCCACAAGGAGAUUUUCAGCAUUUCCAAUCUGAUAAUCCAUGAUAAAUGCCUGCCAGAGGUUGGUCAGAGCCCAGGCCCUUUAGGAUUUUAAGCCUCUCUGCUUGUUAAAAAUGUUUAUACCUGAGUAUUCAAAGUUGGUACCCAUUUACAUGAAUAUGCCUAACACGUGAGUGUUGCAAAUGCAGAAUUAAAAUACCACAUUAUCUCAUUUCUCCAUGAAAACAUAGUUGGAUAUUUGGCAGGGUCCUUCAGGUGGCUCUGCAUGAACCUCAGACACGCCACCUAUGAUGAGCAGAGCCAUUUCUGUGACUGAGUACGUCAGUCCAUGCAGCCUUUGUGUGAGCAGGUGGACCAGUGUGGGAGUCCACUCUCACUCCUCCUCCCUAGGGCCCAAAGCAUAUCCAGUCACAGGCAACACAAAAAUGUAAAUAUUAAUCUCAGGCUGGUGAGAGGGCUCAGUGGUUAGUGGUGCUUGCUGCCAAGCCUGAAGACCCAACCUUGAUCCCUGGACCUUCAUGGUAAAAGGAGAAAAUUGACUCUGGCAAGAUGUCCUCUGACACCCCCAUGCACACCACAGCACACACACACACACACACACACACACACCCCAACACUGAGUAAACAAAAGCAACAAAAAUGUUGUUGCUUUUGGAAAACAAGGGUGUCAUGGAAGAACAGCAGGCUACUUAACUCUGCACCUUUAGAAGGAAUCUUCCAGAAGGCACUACUCAGUGUGAGUUCUUAUAGUGGUUGAUCUUGACUGUCAACCUGGCAGGAUUUAGAGUCACCAUGGAAACAAAUACAGGCCAUGUGAUGGGGUUUCUGGAUUAGGUUAACUGGGUUGGUCUUAAUUGUGAAGGUCUUCCACCUAACCUGUAUGUGAGCAAUACCACCCCGUGGUCUGGAUAAGCAAACCAAGCAACAGCAACUACAUCUCUGCUUCCUGACUGGAUGCCAUGUGACCAGCUGCUCAAGCUCCUGCAGCUGUGACCGUAGCCUGAACUGGGGACCCAAAUCAGCUUUAAUUGCAUUAAUUGCUUUCAUCAGGUUCUUUUUCAUGGCAGGACAAGUGACUACUACAACUUCCCCUCUUCCACCUUACCCCCUGCUCUGUCUACACCUAGCUCUUUUGUUAAUGUUGGUUGCGAUGUCCCGUGUGUCUGUGGAGAGCAACUCAACUAGCUCAUGGGUGUCAGGCUCACAUUCAAAGAAAGCUCAACCUUCGUAACAACACAAGCUGUAAUGCCAGCACCAGGGGAUGGAGGCAAGAAGACAAGGCAAGCUUCAGGCCAGCCUGGGCUACCAAAACCAAAAACCAAAAAACCUAACCCAAUUCGUAAAAUCAAAUCAGAUUCAAUGAAGUUACUUAGCAUAUCCAGUACCGGCCUCACCCACCAGCACCACAGGCACCCUUGCUAAGUGUCUGAGCUGACCAGUGCUAAUCACACUGAGCCUUACAGUCUCCACCCAUCUUUAUCCUAAAUGGCAAGUCUGACCCACUCAGCCGCAGGUUUUCAUUCUCACCCCUUCCCUGAUAACCUUGACUCUCCUCCCACUCUCUGUGACUCGUCUGUCCUACCUACCUCAUGGGAGUGGAAUCAUACAGGGUUUCUUCCUUUGCAGUUGGCUUAUUUUACUGAGCAAAGUGAUUUUAAAGAUUCACCCAUAGAGUACCAGGUGUCAGAAUGCUACUCCUCUUAUGGCUAAAUAAUAUUCCACUGCAUCUCACGCUCUGUGCAUUCACUCAUCCGUCGGUGGAUACUUGGGUUAUGUGGUAUUGACUACUGUGCCUUUCAAUUAAAGAAAAAAACAAUCUGUUU
rnacentral:lncRNA from 1 species